rnacentral:rRNA from 1 species
UCAGAUUGAACGCUGGCGGCAUGCCUUACACAUGCAAGUCGUAACGGCAGCACGGGGGCAACCCUGGUGGCGAGUGGCGAACGGGUGAGUAAGACAUCGGAACGUGUCCUGUAGUGGGGGAUAGCCCGGCGAAAGCCGGAUUAAUACCGCAUACGACCUGAGGGAGAAAGCGGGGGAUCUUCGGACCUCGCGCUAUAGGGGCGGCCGAUGGCAGAUUAGCUAGUUGGUGGGGUAAAGGCCUACCAAGGCGACGAUCUGUAGCUGGUCUGAGAGGACGACCAGCCACACUGGGACUGAGACACGGCCCAGACUCCUACGGGAGGCAGCAGUGGGGAAUUUUGGACAAUGGGGGCAAUCCUGAUCCAGCAAUGCCGCGUGUGUGAAGAAGGCCUUCGGGUUGUAAAGCACUUUUGUCCGGAAAGAAAACCAUCGCCCUAAUAUGGUGGUGGGAUGACGGUACCGGAAGAAUAAGCACCGGCUAACUACGUGCCAGCAGCCGCGGUAAUACGUAGGGUGCGAGCGUUAAUCGGAAUUACUGGGCGUAAAGCGUGCGCAGGCGGUCUGUUAAGACCGAUGUGAAAUCCCCGGGCUUAACCUGGGAACUGCAUUGGUGACUGGCAGACUGGAGUGUGGCAGA